AGGAAACACGCUCAUGUAUCAAGACAAAAGCGCUCAAACAAAAAAUCUCCAAGCAUCAAUCACCAUGGUAUCGCGUUUGGAAACACUAGCAUCAUCACGUUGGCAUCGGAGGAACGCCGUGUACAUCGCCAAUUGACUUUCAACCUUUAUCGUCCCCGCGUUCGAUACAGGUCAAAGCGAUAAAAAAUAGAGAAAUUGAAAAGCAAAAGCGCUUAUCAAUACAUACCAGAGAGCAAUCGAGAUCCUUGAUUUCACGUUUGCCAAUCGAUGCAGAUGGUAAUCACUUCUUUAAUCGAUCCGCGUCGGGAACGCCGUAA
rnacentral:lncRNA from 1 species